rnacentral:lncRNA from 1 species
UAUAUUCUGAACCAGGAAAGGCAAAUGUAGGGAUACUGUAACUAUCCACACUUUUAGGGGUGUUUUCUCAUCUUAAUACACGGGUAUCUGGAGGCAUAACUACUUCUGCAUUGAGGUAAAACUACUCCCUUGAACGUGUGACCAAGGCAGGAAAGAAUGCAGUUCUGUAUUUUAUAUUCUUAAACUGAAUAACUUCUUACCACAUCUUUGAACAAUGCUAUGUUCGCUCGUCCUGCACCGCUUUUCAUUCCGUACAUUUUCAAUGCUCUCUUCUAACGGAUCAGCACACAUCUGAGGUCUGGGAUGUCAGAAUGACCACCCAGCUACUGUCGUGUCCCUUUUGACACCUGUCACGGUACGACACAUCAGAAGAUGCUGCAGAGAAACAGUCAAUACCACCGGACGGAAAAAGGCCAACUUAGGAAGCAGAACAAGUGAAACUUUACAAGUAAGCAACUAUAACACAUUUGUAUGCGAACGAGGCCAAGAUCUCAUAGGGCUGUUUGCAAAACCAGAUCUCAGCCGCAUCAGAAGUUUUACCACUGACUAAAUCAGCACUAAUAAAAAGGGGCACAACUACCAAGCGUGUGCCAGACAAACAUAGUGCUUUUUGUACUACUUAUUCCUGUAGGGGGAAGGGAGGAAGUUAAAAAAACUGUAACAUCUUUUAAUAUAUAACAUACUCUACUGGUAAAACUCAUAUCACAACUCAGUGCAGAGCACGGAAUACACUUAAGAUCUCUUUGCAAAGUUGUCUUUGUUGCAUUGUUAUUAAGAGCACAUUAAAAUGCGGACCAUUAUUUUUACAUGAUAAUAUGCUUUUUACAUGAAAGUAUGUUUUCAAAUGUCAC